AUGAUUUUUUGAUAGGGCCUGUUUUGCCUGUUUGCCGCCAUCUAGAGAGUAUUCUUCAUACGCAUGUGAUUUGGUUCAAAAUGGUGGAAAAAAGAGCCGGUCAACCCAAUGUUUACUGUGGCUGGAAUUUUUUCUCUUGGAUAGUUCUGUUGAGUUCAGUACCUAAAAACCUGAAAUGAGAGCGCUCGGACAAUGUGAAGUUUGUCGCAUAGACGGGGAUUGACCGCCUUUGUACAUAUAUGUCUACAGCUUCUCAGAUUUGACCGAAGACAGUUGUUCGGUGUUGUGAAUGGAUGUUGUUCGUCCGAAGGCCUUCCAGUCACACAGAAGAUCCUGGUUCAGUCGCACGAAGGGUCACUUCCAUUGAUAUUAGUCACAGGAAAAAUUAGGAGCACCAGUUGUAGUUUUUCAGGUUGAUAUUUAUUAAGGUUUUUGCUGAAAUUAAGUCAGUUUGGAACAUUCAGCAGGCAGUGAUGUACAUUAAAAUCAUUCUUUAUAGAGAUAGGGGCUGUUUUGCCAGAAUGCUCAGCUGUGAUACACAGUGUAAGAUUUUGUGCAGUGUAAAUGGUCAUGGUGUGCAUGUUUCAUUUACAGAGUGCACUGAAUACCUGUAAACUGUAAGAUUUGAGUGAAAUAUUCAUUCCAGAAAGACUCAUAAGCUUUUUAGUAAGCUCACAUAUUGGAUUUUUCAGAGCUGUUUGGCUCAUUUUACCUAGGGCAGCCAUAAAUGAAUGAUCACUGAAAAGUAUAUGACACAUAUAUGUACAAAAGCUAUUCAUUCUCAUAUUUGCCACAUACUAGGCUGCUUAAAAAGGGCAAAUUUGACAGCUACAGGAUUUUUGUUAGUUUACAUUUU